rnacentral:snRNA from 1 species
GUCUUCUCAGAGACAUUCGAUAAAAUUAAAAUGAUACAACGAAGAUUAACGUGGCCCUUCGCGAAGAUGACGCAAACAAAUUGAGAAAUGGUUCUAUUUUUU